rnacentral:lncRNA from 1 species
CCCAAGUUGUCUCUGCUUCUGAAUACCGAUUCCACUGCACUUUGCACAUUCUGAUGACCCGACUUCUGGUGACUCUCUCAGCUGUCUCCAAUAUUCUGACCGGAUACUCUUCAUAAGUGUGAUCACCUUUAACGGAAAGUUGUUCCAAUGGUAGUUGCUCCUUAGGUACACGCAAACACUUCUUAAGUUGUAACACAUGGAACACAUCAUGCACACCAGACAACUUUCAGGCAAUUCUAACUGAUAUGCUACUUCUCCAUGCCUUUUCAAUACUUUAAACGGACCAACAUACCUUUGAGCUAGCUUUCCCUUCAUAUUAAACCUCUUCACACUCCUCAUUGG